GUGCUUGCUUCGUUAGCACAUAUACCAAAAUUGGAAUGAUAUCAAGAAGAUUAGCAUGGCCCCUGCACAAGGAUGAAAUUCAAAUUUGUGAAGUGUUUAAUUUUCUA